rnacentral:rRNA from 1 species
UACGUAGGGUGCAAGCGUUAAUCGGAAUUACUGGGCGUAAAGCGUGCGCAGGCGGCUUUGCAAGACAGAUGUGAAAUCCCCGGGCUUAACCUGGGAACUGCAUUUGUGACUGCAUGGCUGGAGUGCGGCAGAGGGGGAUGGAAUUCCGCGUGUAGCAGUGAAAUGCGUAGAUAUGCGGAGGAACACCGAUGGCGAAGGCAAUCCCCUGGGCCUGUACUGACGCUCAUGCACGAAAGCGUGGGGAGCAAACAGG